rnacentral:lncRNA from 1 species
CUGGGGAUAUGACAGUUACUACUUGACUGUCCAAUAUUUACUGACAAAGCUAUCCACAAGGACGAUCACAUUAUACGGUGUUCCCUGGGCUUUCAUGGUAAAAUUAAUCACUAUUUUUACUCAUCCAUUAAUUUAUUAUGCAUAUACUUAUUAUGACUUCUUUUUGCUUGCUUUCUGUUUACAUUUUUUUAGGCUUGGGCAUGUGAAGUCAUUCC